rnacentral:rRNA from 1 species
GACGAACGCUGGCGGCGUGCUUAACACAUGCAAGUCGAACGGAAAGGCCCUGCUUUUGUGGGGUUCUCGAGUGGCGAACGGGUGAGUAACACGUGAGUAACCUGCCCUUGACUUUGGGAUAACUUCAGGAAACUGGGGCUAAUACCGGAUAGGAGCUCCUGCUGCAUGGUGGGGGUUGGAAAGUUUCGGCUGUUGGGGAUGGACUCGCGGCUUAUCAGCUUGUUGGUUGGGUAGUGGCGUACCAAGGCUUUGACGGGUAGCCGGCCUGAGAGGGUGACCGGCCACCUUGGGACUGAGAUACGGACCAGACUCGUACGGGAGGCAGCAGUGGGGAAUAUUGCACAAUGGGCGGACGCCUGAUGCAGAAACGUCGCGUGCGGGAUGACGGCCUUCGGGUUGUAAACAGCUUUCGACUGUGACGAAGCGUGAGUGACGGUAAUGGGUAAAGAAGCACCGGCUAACUACGUG